GACGAACGCUGGCGGCGUGCUUAACACAUGCAAGUCGAACGGAAAGGCCCUGCUUUUGUGGGGUGCUCGAGUGGCGAACGGGUGAGUAACACGUGAGUAACCUGCCCUUGACUUUGGGAUAACUUCAGGAAACUGGGGCUAAUACCGGAUAGGAGCUCCUGCUGCAUGGUGGGGGCUGGAAAGUUUCGGCGGUUGGGGAUGGACUCGCGGCUUAUCAGCUUGUUGGUGGGGUAGUGGCUUACCAAGGCUUUGACGGGUAGCCGGCCUGAGAGGGUGACCGGCCACAUUGGGACUCAGAUACGGCCCAGACUCCUACGGGAGGCAGCAGUGGGGAAUAUUGCACAAUGGGCGGAAGCCUGAUGCAGCAACGCCGCGUGCGGGAUGACGGCCUUCGGGUUGUAAACCGCUUUCGCCUGUGACGAAGCGUGAGUGACGGUAAUGGGUAAAGAAGCACCGGCUAACUACGUG
rnacentral:rRNA from 1 species